rnacentral:misc_RNA from 1 species
CCUGCGGAAGGAUCAUUGUCGUAACCUGCUAAAGCAAAACAACCUGCGAACAUGUACUUACAUUCGGGGAUCCAAGUGCGUUUGCUUCGGCGGAUGCUCUUUCUUCCCAACGUUGAGAUGGCUCGGCAUGUGCUUGCUUACCAACGAAGCAUUCGUUGAGAGUUGGCACUUACUGAGCUUUCUCGACAUAACAAAAACCCGGCGUGAACUGCGCCAAGGAACAUAAUAAGAGCGUGCAUUCUCCCGGUGUUUGCUUUUGCUUCACUCGGAUGGAUGUCAUCUUCUUGAUGAGUUUAUAAUGACUCUCGGCAACGGAUAUCUCGGCUCUUACAUCGAUGAAGAACGUAGCAAAAUGCGAUACUUGGUGUGAAUUGCAGAAUCCCGUGAACCAUCGAGUCUUUGAACGCAAGUUGCGCCCGAAUCCUUUCGGUGGAGGGCACGUCUGCCUGGGUGUCACGUACACACGUCUCUCACAAACCUUUCCCUUCAUGGGCGAAGGGUCUUGCGUGAGCGGAGUUUGGUAUCCCGUGCUUGUAUUGUGCGGCUUACCUAAAAAUUGAGAGCCAGUGAUGAAACUUCACGUCUAGUGGUGGUUAAGGAACCUUCAUGGGUCAAACCAGUUCGCGGCGUGAAUGUUUGUCACUUGGAAAGUUCUCUACCGACACCUUGAACGUCUUUUAAUGACCGUUCUACU